rnacentral:rRNA from 1 species
GACGAACGCUGGCGGCGUGCUUAACACAUGCAAGUCGAACGGAAAGGCCCUGCUUUUGUGGGUUGCUCGAGUGGCGCACGGGUGAGUAUCACGUGAAUAACCUGCCCUUGUCUUUGGGAUAACUUCAGGAGACUGGGGCUCUUACCGGAUAGGAGCUCCUGCUGCAUGGUGGUGGUUGGUAAGUUUGGGCGGUUGUGGAUGGACUCGCUGCUUAUCAGCUGGUUGGUGGGGUAGUGGCUUACGAAGUUUUUGACGGGUAGCCGGCGUGGGAGGGUGACCGGCCACAAUGGGACUGCGGUACGGCCCAGACUCCUACGGGAGGCAGCAGGGGGGAACAUUGCACAAUGGGCGGAAGCCUGAUGCAGCAACGCCGCGUGCGGGAUAACGGCCUUCGGGGUGUAAACCGCUUUCGACUGUGACGAAGCGUGAGUGACGGUAAUGGGUAAAGAAGCACCGGCUAACUACGUG